rnacentral:rRNA from 1 species
UGGAUGAUGUGGAUUAAUUCGAUGCAACGCGAAAACCUUACCUACCCUUGACAUGUCCGGAAUCCCGAAGAGAUUUGGGAGUGCUCGCAAGAGAACCGGAACACAGGUGCUGCAUUGGCUGUCGUCAGCUCGUGUCGUGAGAUGUUGGGUUAAGUCCCGCAACGAGCGCAACCCUUGUCCUUAGUUGCCAGCAUUAAGUUGGGCACUCUAAGGAGACUGCCGGUGUUAAACCGGAGGAAGGUGGGGAUGACGUCAAGUCCUCAUGGCCCUUAUGUCCAGGGCUACACACGUGCUACAAUGGCCGGUACAAAGGGCUGCAAUACCGCAAGGUGGAGCGAACCCCAAAAAGCCGGUCUCAGUUCGGAUUGGAGUCUGCAACUCGACUCCAUGAAGUUGGAAUCGCUAGUAAUCGCGGAUCAGCAUGCCGCGGUGAAUACGUUCCCGGGCCUU